rnacentral:rRNA from 1 species
AAAUUGAAGAGUUUGAUCAUGGCUCAGAUUGAACGCUGGCGGCAGGCCUAACACAUGCAAGUCGAACGGUAGCACAGAGAGCUUGCUCUCGGGUGACGAGUGGCGGACGGGUGAGUAAUGUCUGGGAAACUGCCUGAUGGAGGGGGAUAACUACUGGAAACGGUAGCUAAUACCGCAUAACGUCGCAAGACCAAAGAGGGGGACCUUCGGGCCUCUUGCCAUCAGAUGUGCCCAGAUGGGAUUAGCUAGUAGGUGGGGUAACGGCUCACCUAGGCGACGAUCCCUAGCUGGUCUGAGAGGAUGACCAGCCACACUGGAACUGAGACACGGUCCAGACUCCUACGGGAGGCAGCAGUGGGGAAUAUUGCACAAUGGGCGAAAGCCUGAUGCAGCCAUGCCGCGUGUAUGAAGAAGGCCUUCGGGUUGUAAAGUACUUUCAGCGGGGAGGAAGGUGUUGUGGUUAAUAACCACAGCAAUUGACGUUACCCGCAGAAGAAGCACCGGCUAACUCCGUGCCAGCAGCCGCGGUAAUACGGAGGGUGCAAGCGUUAAUCGGAAUUACUGGGCGUAAAGCGCACGCAGGCGGUCUGUCAAGUCGGAUGUGAAAUCCCCGGGCUCAACCUGGGAACUGCAUUCGAAACUGGCAGGCUAGAGUCUUGUAGAGGGGGGUAGAAUUCCAGGUGUAGCGGUGAAAUGCGUAGAGAUCUGGAGGAAUACCGGUGGCGAAGGCGGCCCCCUGGACAAAGACUGACGCUCAGGUGCGAAAGCGUGGGGAGCAAACAGGAUUAGAUACCCUGGUAGUCCACGCCGUAAACGAUGUCGAUUUGGAGGUUGUGCCCUUGAGGCGUGGCUUCCGGAGCUAACGCGUUAAAUCGACCGCCUGGGGAGUACGGCCGCAAGGUUAAAACUCAAAUGAAUUGACGGGGGCCCGCACAAGCGGUGGAGCAUGUGGUUUAAUUCGAUGCAACGCGAAGAACCUUACCUGGUCUUGACAUCCACAGAACUUUCCAGAGAUGGAUUGGUGCCUUCGGGAACUGUGAGACAGGUGCUGCAUGGCUGUCGUCAGCUCGUGUUGUGAAAUGUUGGGUUAAGUCCCGCAACGAGCGCAACCCUUAUCCUUUGUUGCCAGCGGUCCGGCCGGGAACUCAAAGGAGACUGCCAGUGAUAAACUGGAGGAAGGUGGGGAUGACGUCAAGUCAUCAUGGCCCUUACGACCAGGGCUACACACGUGCUACAAUGGCGCAUACAAAGAGAAGCGACCUCGCGAGAGCAAGCGGACCUCAUAAAGUGCGUCGUAGUCCGGAUUGGAGUCUGCAACUCGACUCCAUGAAGUCGGAAUCGCUAGUAAUCGUAGAUCAGAAUGCUACGGUGAAUACGUUCCCGGGCCUUGUACACACCGCCCGUCACACCAUGGGAGUGGGUUGCAAAAGAAGUAGGUAGCUUAACCUUCGGGAGGGCGCUUACCACUUUGUGAUUCAUGACUGGGGUGAAGUCGUAACAAGGUAACCGUAGGGGAACCUGCGGUUGGAUCACCUCCUUA